rnacentral:rRNA from 1 species
CCUACGGGGGGCUGCAGUGAGGAAUAUUGGUCAAUGGGCGCGAGCCUGAACCAGCCAAGUAGCGUGAAGGAUGACUGCCCUACGGGUUGUAAACUUCUUUUAUAAAGGAAUAAAGUGAGGCACGUGUGCCUUUUUGUAUGUACUUUAUGAAUAAGGCUCGGCUAACUCCGUGCCAGCAGCCGCGGUAAUACGGAGGAUCCGAGCGUUAUCCUGAUUUAUUGGGGUUAAAGGGAGCGUAGAUGGGUUGUUGAGUCAGUUGUGAAAGUUUGCGGCUCAAACGUAAAAUUGCAAUUGAUAAUGGCAGCCUUGAGUACAGUUGAGGUAGGCGGAAUGCGUGGUGUAGCGGUGAAAUGCUUAGAUAUCACGAAGAACUCCGAUUGCGAAGGCAGCUUACUAAACUGCCACUGACAUUGAUGCUCGAAAGUGUGGGUAUCAAACAGGAUUAGAUACCCGGGUAGUC